UACGGAGGGUGCAAGCGUUAUCCGGAUUUACUGGGUUUAAAGGGUGCGUAGGCGGAUUUGUAAGUCUGAGGUGAAAUCUCCGAGCUUAACUCGGAAACUGCCUUGGAUACUAUAAGUCUUGAAUGUCGUUGAGGUCAGCGGAAUAUGUCAUGUAGCGGUGAAAUGCUUAGAUAUGACAUAGAACACCUAUUGCGAAGGCAGCUGACUAAGCGAAUAUUGACGCUGAGGCACGAAAGCGUGGGGAUCAAACAGG
rnacentral:rRNA from 1 species